UUGCCUUAGUAACGGCGAGUGAAGCGGCAACAGCUCAAAUUUGAAAGCUGGCUCCUUUGGAGUCCGCGUUGUAAUUUGUAGAGGAUGAUUCGGCAAGGGCUCCCGCCUAAGUCUCCUGGAACGGAGCGUCAUAGAGGGUGAGAAUCCCGUAUGCGGUGGGCUGCCUAAGCCAUGUGAAUCUCCUUCGACGAGUCGAGUUGUUUGGGAAUGCAGCUCUAAAUGGGAGGUAAAUUUCUUCUAAAGCUAAAUACCGGCCAGAGACCGAUAGCGCACAAGUAGAGUGAUCGAAAGAUGAAAAGCACUUUGGAAAGAGAGUUAAAAAGUACGUGAAAUUGUUGAAAGGGAAGCGCUUGCAGCCAGACUUGUCCGCAGUUGCUCAGCCGGUCUCCUGACCGGUGUACUCUUCUGCGGCCAGGCCAGCAUCAGUUCGGGCGGUCGGAUAAAGACCUCGGGAAUGUAGCUCCUCUCGGGGAGUGUUAUAGCCCGGGGUGGAAUGCGGCCAGCCUGGACUGAGGAUCUCGCUUCGGCUAGGAUGCUGGCGUAAUGGCUGUAAGCGGCCCGUCUUGAAACACGGACCAAGGAGUCUAACAUCUAUGCGAGUGUUUGGGUGUCAAACCCAUGCGCGUAAUGAAAGUGAACGGAGGUGGGAACCCUCACGGGUGCACCAUCGACCGAUCCUGAUGUCUUCGGAUGGAUUUGAGUAAGAGCAUAGCUGUUGGGACCCGAAAGAUGGUGAACUAUGCCUGAAUAGGGUGAAGCCAGAGGAAACUCUGGUGGAGGCUCGCAGCGGUUCUGACGUGCAAAUCGAUCGUCAAAUUUGGGUAUAGGGGCGAAAGACUAAUCG
rnacentral:rRNA from 1 species